UCUAUUAAGUUGGUAAUGACUUGAAGACACAUAGCACACAAACAAAACAUACAAGGCCAGGCAGGGUUCAGAGACCUGGAGGGACAGAUUCUGGCAGCUCCUUUGUAUCAUUCAAACUGAAUCCUAUCAAUCCUGGGGCCCUUUCACACCACACGAUUAUAACAUUUUUAUUCCACUUUAACUGUCAUGUUCUAUGUAAUCCUGGGGGUUUGUAGUUUGUUGAGGGAGCAGAGCUCUCUGGAAGAUAAUUCCGAAUAUCUCACUAAACUACAGAUCCAGGAAUCCAUGGAGCCACAGCAGUUGUCAAAGUACUAUAGCAGGUAUCAAAAGUGAAUUUGGGGAAAAGUCCCAGUAUAGAUUGUAAUAAAGUUUUCUAAAUCAGUAUCUUUUGUGAUGCAAGGACCUCCCUCACUUUGUUUAAUCAGAGGGGGUGAAUUUAUAUCUGCAGUACUUUUAAUAUUCCCUCCUCUCUUCUCCACCCAUUCCUGGUCCAUGUCCAAUAAACUGGAUGAGUGUGUACUUUAUUUUCUAAACUGGAGACAGACACAAAGCCAGCUGAAAUCCCAGGAUCAAGACCAGCUGUCCAUCUAGACUCCUUUCUCUGCCAGUGUGCAAAGCCAGAAGGACAGAUGGAGCGCCUUCCACUAAAGUCCGUUAAAGGGGUUCCUAUGCUAAAGUAUUUUGCUGACAUCAUGGAGGAGGUGGAUAAAUUUCAAGCACAUCCAGAUGACUUGCUGAUCUCCACGUACCCCAAAUCUGGAACUACAUGGAUCUGCGAGGUUGUAGACAUGAUCUAUAAAGAAGGCAACGUGGAGGCUUGCAGAGAGAAACCCAUCUACUUGCGAGUCCCUUUCUUGGAGCGCUCUUUUCCUGGAUCAGAUGCAGGCUUUAAGCUGCUACAAAAAACACCCCGCCCAUGUGUAAUUAAAACCCAUCUUCCUGUCCAACUGCUCCCCAAAUCGUUCUGGGAAAAGAAUUGCAAGAUGAUCUACCUGGCCAGAAAUGCCAAAGAUGUGGCUGUCUCCUAUUACUUCUUCUAUCAAAUGGCAAAAGUUCAUCCUGAACCUGGAACCUGGAAUGAAUUUUUGGAAAAAUUUAUGGCUGGAGACGUUCUCUCCUCAGUUGCAUUUGGAUCCUGGUAUGACCAUGUCAAAGACUGGUGGGACAAGAGAGAAGAACAAAGGAUGCUCUACCUCUUCUAUGAAGAUAUGAAAGAGGAUCCACAGCAGGAGAUCCAGAAAGUAAUGGAAUUCUUAGAGAGGCCCAUUGAUGAACAGCUGGUGGAAAAAAUUACACACUACACCUCCUUUAAAGAGAUGCGUCAGAACCACAUGACGAAUUACACAUGCCUUCCCUCAACAUUUAUGGAUCAUUCCAUCUCUCCAUUCAUGAGGAAGGUUUGCCUUGACUACCAAUUCUUCCCCUCAACCCAGGAGUCGCUGGUGACUGGAAGAACCAUUUCACAGUGGCCCAAAAUGAAUUCUUUGAUGCUGAUUAUAAGAGACAAAUGGUAGGAUCAACCCUGCAGUUCUGGAUGGAGAUGUAAUUCCUUUUGUCUUGCUGCUUAGGAAGGAACAAAGAAUGCAGAGGAAGAUUAUUAGAUUUCAUCCACUGAGGAUUAAAAAAAAACUGGUCUGAACAUGCAACAGACUCAUUUUUGCUGCUAGUUGUUUGUUACAAAUUUGUAAAACUUUUGUUGCAUCCAAUAAAGUAUUUAAUUUUCGAUUAUAAGCUA